rnacentral:rRNA from 1 species
GACGAACGCUGGCGGCGUGCUUAACACAUGCAAGUCGAACGGAAAGACCCUGCUUUUGUGGGGUUUUCGAGCGGCGAACGGGCGAGUAACACGUGUGUAACCUACCCUUGACUUUGGGGUAACUUCUGCAGACUGCGGCUACUACCAGCUCGGAGCUCCUGCUGCCUGGAGGGGGUUGGAAAGUGUCGGCGGGUGGGGAUGGACUCGCGGCUUAUCAGCUCGUUGGUGGGGUAGUGGCUUACCCAGGCUUUGCGGGGCCUCCGGCCUGUGAGGGUGACCGGCGACAUUGGGACUGCGAUACGGCCCAGACUCCUACGGGAGGCAGCAGUGGGGAACAUUGCGCAAUGGGCGGAAGCCUGAUGCAGCAACGCCGCGGUCGUGAUGACGGCCUUCGGGUUGUAAACCGCGUUCGCCUGUGACGAAGCGUGAGUGACGGUAACGGGUAAAGAAGCACCGGCUAACUACGUG